AUGCCAGACUCCUACGGGAGGCAGCAGUGGGGGAUAUUGCACAAUGGGGGAAGCCCUGAUGCAGCGACGCCGCGUGGGUGAAGAAGUAUUUCGGUAUGUAAAGCCCUAUCAGCAGGGAAGAAAGAAGACGGUACCUGACUAAGAAGCCCCAGCUAACUACGUGCCAGCAGCCGCGGUAAUACGUAGGGGGCGAGCGUUAUCCGGAUUCACUGGGUGUAAAGGGAGCGUAGACGGCCGUGCAAGCCAGGAGUGAAAGCCCGGGGCCCAACCCCGGGACUGCUCUUGGAACUGUGCGGCUGGAGUGCGGGAGGGGCAGGCGGAAUUCCUGGUGUAGCGGUGAAAUGCGUAGAUAUUAGGAGGAACACCAGUGGCGAAGGCGGCUUACUGGACGGCAACUGACGCUGAGGCUCGAAAGCGUGGGGAGCAAACAGGAUUAGAUACCCCGGUA
rnacentral:rRNA from 1 species